rnacentral:rRNA from 1 species
AGUGAACGCUGGCGGCGUGCUUAAUACAUGCAAGUCGAACGAUGAAGUCCUAGCUUGCUAGGAUGGAUUAGUGGCGCACGGGUGAGUAAUAUAUAGUUAAUCUGCCUUGCACUGAGGAACAACAGUUGGAAACGAUUGCUAAUACCUCAUACUCCAACUUUACAUAAGUUAAGUUGGGAAAGUCUUUUCGGUGCAAGAUGAGACUAUAUCGUAUCAGCUAGUUGGUAAGGUAAUGGCUUACCAAGGCUAUGACCCGUAACUGGUCUGAGAGGAUGAUCAGUCACAUUGGAACUGAGACACGGUCCAAACUCCUACGGGAGGCAGCAGUAAGGAAUAUUGUGCAAUGGGGGAAACCCUGACGCAGCAACGCCGCGUGGAGGAGGACACUUUUCGGAGCGUAAACUCCUUUUGUUAGGGAAGAAUAAUGACGGUACCUAACGAAUAAGCACCGGCUAACUCCGUG